GACGAACGCUGGCGGCGUGCCUAAUACAUGCAAGUAGAACGCUGAAGGAGGAGCUUGCUUCUCUGGAUGAGUUGCGAACGGGUGAGUAACGCGUAGGUAACCUGCCUGGUAGCGGGGGAUAACUAUUGGAAACGAUAGCUAAUACCGCAUAAGAGUAGAUGUUGCAUGACAUUUGCUUAAAAGGUGCAAUUGCAUCACUACCAGAUGGACCUGCGUUGUAUUAGCUAGUUGGUGGGGUAACGGCUCACCAAGGCGACGAUACAUAGCCGACCUGGGAGGGGGGUCGGCCACACUGGGACUGAGACACGGCCCAGACUCCUACGGGAGGCAGCAGUAGGGAAUCUUCGGCAAUGGACGGAAGUCUGACCGAGCAACGCCGCGUGAGUGAAGAAGGUUUUCGGAUCGUAAAGCUCUGUUGUAAGAGAAGAACGAGUGUGAGAGUGGAAAGUUCACACUGUGACGGUAUCUUACCAGAAAGGGACGGCUAACUACGUG
rnacentral:rRNA from 1 species